rnacentral:misc_RNA from 1 species
UUAAGUUCAGCGGGUAUUCCUACCUGAUCCGAGGUCAACAUUUCAGAAGUUGGGUGUUUUACGGACGUGGACGCGCCGCGCUCCCGGUGCGAGUUGUGCAAACUACUGCGCAUGAGAGGCUGCGGCGAGACCGCCACUGUAUUUCGGGGCCGGGAUCCCGUCUUAGGGGUUCCCGAUCCCCAACGCCGGACCCCCGGAGG